UUAGAUGGUCGGAUGGCCGCUGGCAAACUUAAAUAUAAAAGUAGCUGGAGGAAAGUCCGGGCUCCACGGAAACACGGUGCCGGGUAAUGCCCGGCGGGGGUGACCCCAGGGAAAGUGCCGCAGAAAAAAAACCGCCUGCACUGAAUUUUGUGCGGGUAAGGGUGAAAGGGUGCGGUAAGAGCGCACCGCGGGCGCAGUAAUGGGCCCGGCAUGGUAAACCCCAUCGGGAGCAAGACCAAGUAGGAGUGACAUGCUGCUUUAACAGCUGGCGUGUUUUCGCGUCGUCACUCGGGUAGGUCGCGAGAGGCGGUUAGUAAUAGCCGUCCCAGAGGAAUGGUCAUCUAUUCUAUUGGUUGCAAAAUUGAUAGAAGGACAGAACCCGGCUUAUAGACCAUCUAACCAU
rnacentral:RNase_P_RNA from 1 species